GACGAACGCUGGCGGCGUGCUUAACACAUGCAAGUCGAACGGAAAGGCCUCUUCGGAGGUACUCGAGUGGCGAACGGGUGAGUAACACGUGGGUGAUCUGCCCUGCACUCUGGGAUAAGCCUGGGAAACUGGGUCUAAUACCGGAUAGGACCAUGCUUUAGUGUGUGUGGUGGAAAGUUUUUUCGGUGUAGGAUGAGCCCGCGGCCUAUCAGCUUGUUGGUGGGGUAAUGGCCUACCAAGGCGGCGACGGGUAGCCGGACUGAGAGGUUGGUCGGCCACAUUGGGACUGAGACACGGCCCAGACUCCUACGGGAGGCAGCAGUGGGGAAUUUUGCACAAUGGGGGAAACCCUGAUGCAGCGACGCCGCGUGAUUUAGAAGGCCUUCGGGUUGUAAAAAUCUUUUGUAUAGGAAGAAAAUGACAGUACUAUACGAAUAAGGUCCGGCUAAUUACGUGCCAGCAGCCGCGGUAAUACGUAAGGACCGAGCGUUGUCCGGAAUCAUUGGGCGUAAAGGGUACGUAGGCGGGUUUUUAAGUUAGAAGUCAAAGGCUAUAGCUCAACUAUAGUAAGCUUCUAAAACUGGGAACCUUGAGUAAUGGAAGGGAAAGUGGAAUUCCUAGUGUAGCGGUGGAAUGCGCAGAUAUUAGGAGGAAUACCGGUGGCGAAGGCGACUUUCUGGCCAUUAACUGACGCUGAGGUACGAAAGCGUGGGUAGCAAACAGGAUUAGAUACCCUGGUAGUCCACGCCGUAAACGAUGAGUGUUAGGUGUCUGGAGUAAAUCUGGGUGCCGCAGCUAACGCAUUAAACACUCCGCCUGGGGAGUACGCACGCAAGUGUGGAACUCAAAGGAAUUGACGGGGACCCGCACAAGCAGCGGAGCAUGUGGUUUAAUUCGAAGCAACGCGAAGAACCUUACCAAGUCUUGACAUAUUUUGGAAGCACUUAGAGAUAAGAGCCUAUAUCUUCGGAUAACUGAAAUACAGGUGGUGCAUGGUUGUCGUCAGCUCGUGUCGUGAGAUGUUGGGUUAAGUCCCAUAACGAGCGCAACCCCUUUUGCUAGUUACCAUCAUUAAGUUGGGGACUCUAGCAAUACUGCCGGUGACAAACCGGAGGAAGGUGGGGAUGACGUCAAAUCAUCAUGCCCUUUAUGACUUGGGCUACACACGUGCUACAAUGGCAGGUACAGAGGGCCGCAAGACAGCGAUGUUAAGCAAAACUCAAAAAGCCUGUCCCAGUUCGGAUUGCACCCUGCAACUCGAGUGCAUGAAGUUGGAGUUGCUAGUAAUCGUGGAUCAGAAUGCCACGGUGAAUGCGUUCCCGGGUCU
rnacentral:rRNA from 1 species